rnacentral:tmRNA from 1 species
GGGGCCGAACAUGGCUUCGACGGGGAUUUAGAAUCAACAUAAGCGAGUCGUCUUUGAGAAAUGACGAAAAAAGUCUCAAAAAAUAUAAAUAACAACAAUAACGAAUUAGCUUUAGCUGCCUAACUGCAGCUUCACCCUUUAGAAACCCCAUUGUUCUAAAGUAGGUGUCAUUUUAAUGGGAAACAAAUCUUUGAAAGUCGCCAUAUCAAAGAGGGUACCUAUGACGAUAUAUAGAAAAAAUCCUGUCAUUUGGAGUUUUUCUAAGAACAACAAAUAAAUGACUACACUCGUAGAAGGUGUUGUGGAAGAGUUUUCGGACGUGGGUUCAACUCCCACCGGCUCCACCA